UAGAAAUUUCAACGAAACAAACAAAAAACAACUAAAUAUCAUUUACAGUGUCUUUUAUAAAUUUAUACAAGUAAACAUAAGUUGAGGCAUUCUUAAGCAACUCUUUUAAACAUUGCGGGACCCGGUUAGGCUUCUUAUAGAUUUUUAAAAGCUCAUCCGCCAACACAAGGCGCUGAAUGUUGAAAGAUGAACAUUCGAAGAAAAUGUGAUGUAGUGAUUGAAUUUUUUGUGAUUGACAAUAUUCGCAAUAGGGAGAAUUAGCCAUUUUAAUACGAUGAAGAUGACAAUUUAAUCUAUAAUGACCAAAACGCAUACGACAAAUAAUUGAAUAAAAUUUCCUAUUGAUAAAAUUAUUUUUCUUGCAAAACCAAGGAGUGGAGUUUAUUUGGACAUCCAUACUAGCAAACCAGUUUCCUUUAUUUUCAUGGUGUGUGUAUUGAUAUGAAUGUCUCCCCCAUGCUUGACACAUACGCUGUUUUAAGAAACUAACAGCGUCUGUGUGUGGUAUGGAUACAGUCAUAUCAAUAUUGGAAUUAGGAAUUAAUUCUUGUAACUCAACAAUUUUUUUGGCCAGGAUAAAUUAUAUGAAAUAUGGACACCCAAAAAUUUCACUUCAGAUGUAGUGGGUAACAAACAAUUAUUAUAUUGCACAGCAGGUGUACUGUGACAAUGUUUACCAAAUACAAUAACUUUAGACUUGGAUGGAUUCACACUGAGAUCAAGGAAUCCCUAUUUGUAAUAACUCAAGGCAUAGAAUAUCUAUGUUUACACUAUUAAAAGCACCUGCGAUGUCAAAGAAUACACCGACCAAGUUUUCAUUUGCGGAUAUAGAGUUUUGUAUAUCCAGCUGUAACUGGCAAACGCUUUCUCUAGCAGAACGAUUUCUACGAAAACCAAAUUGAUUGGAAGGAAUAUGAUAACUAGUACCAAGAGGACAAUCAUAUACAGACCAGUCACAGUUGAGAGCCAGUGAUGAAGAUACCAAUGAUAAAUCCAAAGCAUUGGGUCGCCAUGUUGGAGAACCGAUAGUCGUUGCUUUGCCCAUCAUUAAGGAGAACCAAAUUAUUAUCCUCAAUAACCUCUAGAAUAUUUUGACCACGCGGGCUGUCGGAACCACAGCCCCAACAAGUGUGAUGAGCGUUAAAAUCGCCCGCAAAUAUGAAAGGACUAGGAAUAGACUUAACCAAUGUAUCAAAAUUGUUUUUGCUGAAGACUGGGUUAGAGUUUAAAGGACUAUAGAAACUAACUAUACAUAUAUCUUUAUUAUUAACUGUUAUUUUCACACAUACAUUUUGUAAGGAAUUAUCGAAAUAGGUGUUAAUUCUAGAAUAAAUAAUGCUUUUAUGUAUUAUAAUUGCAACACCAUUGUGUUUGUUACCACAAUCAUUCCUUUCAACAUUGUAAUUUUUAAUUUUAAAAUUUUGUUCAGGUUUUAACCAAGUUUCACUGAUUAUAGCAAUAUGAAUAUUGUGUGUAUAAAGAAAAUUAAUAAAUAUAUGUUUGUUACUAUUCAGA